rnacentral:rRNA from 1 species
AAUAAUCUCUUAAUUGGAGGCUGGAAUGAAUGGUUGAACAAGAAAUAAACUGUCUUUUUUUUAAAAAUAAAAUUUAACUUUUAAGUGAAAAGGCUUAAAUUAACCGAGGGGACGAUAAGACCCUGUAAAACUUUACAAAAAGAAGUUAAUUUUUAAAUUUAGUUUAAAAUAAAUUAAUUUAGGUUUGUUAUGUUGGGGCGACAUGAAUAAAAUAAGUAACUGUUCAUAUACCAAAAAUAUAUAUAAUUAUUUAGUUUGAUCCUUUAAUGGAGAUUAGAAGUAAAAGUUACUUUAGGGAUAACAGCGUAAUUUUCUCUGAGAGUUCUUAUCGACGAGAGUAGUUGCGACCUCGAUGUUGAAUUAAGAUUUCGUUAAGGUGUAGCAGCUUUAAAAGUAGGUCUGUUCGACCUAUAGAAUCUUA